UAAGUUGCUGCGGUUAAAAAGCUCGUAGUUGGAUCUCAGUUCCGGACCCGCGGUCCGCCCUAGAGGUGGGCUCGCCGGGUGCAAAACACUCGGCCCGGAGCUUCACCCUUGUCGGCCUUGCUUGGGAUGCCCUUCACCGGGUGUCCUUGGCGGCUGGCGAUUUCACUUUGAAAAAAUUUGAGUGCUCAAAGCAGGCAAAGCCUGUCUAACCGCCCGAAAAGCCUCGCAUGGAAUGAUGGAAUAGGACUUCGGUUCUGCUUUCCGUCGGUUUACUGAACCCGAGGUAAUGAUUAAAGGGGACGGUCGGGGGCAUCCGUAUUGCGACGCUAGA
rnacentral:rRNA from 1 species